UGUUGAUUGUCGUGGUAUUGAAAUUUUUCAUCUUAUAAUUCGAUGAACUUUCUAGAUUAUAACUUGAUUUUAUGCUUAGGUCAUCCAUGGAAUACAUUACAAUAAUGCAUAUGCAAUAUCAGUCCCAAAAAAUAGCCUCAAUAUAAAUGUUAGAAAACUAACCAAAGAUAUCACUAGCACAGGUACUGAGACACGCAUACUACGACACUGCUUUCGGUGUUUCCUAACAAAUUCGAGCUCUUUUUUAAGAACACCAAAUUCUUGAAAGUUCCAUAAAUCAAAGGCAUGCCACUGGAAGUGAUCAUUGAGUUCUUCUCCAUUGGAGCAAAACAGGCUGAGGCAGCCAAUCAUAACUGACUGAAGGAUGGAAGCCAUUCGUUUAAAUUCUGCCAGCAGGAGAAACACAUUGGUGAGUUGGUUCAUUGGUUAUCACACAACUUUUUUACUUAUAGUUUUCAUCGAUUUACAGCUUCUAUUUUAUGUUUGAAGUUUAACCUCCACGUUCAUUUUCUAUUCUGAAGUUGUUUCUUUACCCUGUUUAAAAACACCAUCUUGCACAUGUCGUAUAUUGAACUUUUUCCUUUGAAGCUUCAACAUUUUUAUUUUGAUUUUGUAUAUUGGAUCUUUUCCUUUGAAUCUUGAACAUGGAGAAAUGAAUGUUCGAAGUUCUUAACAUUUUUUGUUGAUGAACUGCUGCUGAUGAAAAUAAAUAGCAUUUCUUUUUCUUCAGAAGGCUUAAAAAUAAUUUGCAGUGACAACCCUAGGUAGAGGUGGAAGUUAUUUGGCAGCUACAACAACUUGGAAAGCUCUAGGGUUACCUGAGAUCCAGGACCAAUCUUUUAAGUCAUUCAGCAUAUCAAUUUGCAACCAUAAUCUUCAAAUGCAACCAUAAUCUGGAAUGGAACCAUAAUGUUGCAGCUGUUGGAUACUGUCUUGGUAUUUGAAGUGGAGUAUGUUCGCUCCGGCUUAGGCAACAUUGAAGCUGGAUUUUGCGUUGAGAGGUGGAAGUCAAUCUUGGAUGGUAACAAGAGAAACUUAGAGCCUUCUGCAAGUAAAAGAGUAUUAUCGGAACUGCAUUCUCAUCCCUAACAAAAGGGUGCUAGCAGGGGUUAAUUUAGUGAUGGACAAUGAUAUACUUAAAGAAUAUUUGCAAAUACACAUGAAUGACUAUAGCUCAAUCAUGUAUAUCAUAAAAUCUUAAAGAUUAUUUUAUUAUAUAAGAUUAGGAGGAGAACAUCCUGCAAAAGCUGUUGCUAAGGUGUUUACAGUUAUUGGAUCCUAUAUUUUUGUUAAAGUUUCUAUAGCUUAUAUUUUAGUAUUUUUU